UUCUGGUUGAUCCCGCCGGAGGUCACUGCUAUUGGGAUUCGACUAAGCCAUGCGAGUCGAGAGGGUUCGGCCCUCGGCUGACGGCUCAGUAACACGUGGAUAAUCUACCCUAAGGUGGAGGAUAACCUCGGGAAACUGAGAAUAAUACUCCAUAAGUCUAGGAUACUGGAAUGUACUUAGGCUGAAAACUUCGGUGCCCUAGGAUGAGUCUGCGGACUAUCAGGUUGUAGUCAGGGUAAAGACCUGACUAGCCUACAACGGAUACGGGUUGUGAGAGCAAUAACCCGGAGAUGAUAUCUGAGACACGAUAUCAGGCCCUACGGGGCGCAGCAGGCGCGAAAACUUCACACUGCGCGAAAGCGCGAUGAGGGAAUCCCAAGUGCUUGCACGUAAGUGUAAGCUGUUUCUAUGUCUAAAACGCAUAGAGAGUAAGAGCUGGGUAAGACGGGUGCCAGCCGCCGCGGUAA
rnacentral:rRNA from 1 species